AUUGAACGCUGGCGGCAGGCCUAACACAUGCAAGUCGAGCGGCUGAAGGGAGCUUGCUCCUGGAUUCAGCGGCGGACGGGUGAGUAAUGCCUAGGAAUCUGCCUGGUAGUGGGGGAUAACGUCCGGAAACGGGCGCUAAUACCGCAUACGUCCUACGGGGGAAAGUGGGGGAUCUUCGGACCUCACGCUAUCAGAUGAGCCUAGGUCGGAUUAGCUAGUUGGUGGGGUAAAGGCCUACCAAGGCGACGAUCCGUAACUGGUCUGAGAGGAUGAUCAGUCACACUGGAACUGAGACACGGUCCAGACUCCUACGGGAGGCAGCAGUGGGGAAUAUUGGACAAUGGGCGAAAGCCUGAUCCAGCCAUGCCGCGUGUGUGAAGAAGGUCUUCGGAUUGUAAAGCACUUUAAGUUGGGAGGAAGGGCAGUAAGUUAAUACCUCGCUGUUUUGACGUUACCAACAGAAUAAGCACCGGCUAACUUCGUG
rnacentral:rRNA from 1 species